rnacentral:rRNA from 1 species
CACUGUGAAUGUGCCUGGUGUCACCUGAUCUCAGAAGCUAAACAGGCUCUGGCUUGAUUAAUACUUGGAUGGAAGAAAAGAAGGUGUGCCCAUUUUACAGACAAGAAAGACAAGCCUCAGAGA